CACAAACCAGCCCACUUGAUUAAACCAACACCCCAUCCCAAUAAGAACUAUGACCCGGUCCACUCGUUCCUUCAGCAGCAAUAGCAAAUCCCUCAACAGGAUUCAACGACAACAAUACAUACAACAGUACACAACAACAACCAGACCAAUCAAGCCAAGAGCUCUUCGCGAAACACGAACCUAGAUCCGACCGAACUAACCCAUCAUCGAACAAAAUCCAUUGACCCACGACCGACCCGUCCUCAACCCGUUGCUCACACGCCCACCCCACGCAGAUUCACACGAGAAAAAGCCUCAAAUCUUCUAGAAUAUGUGAAAGUUUAGAAGCCGUUAAGUUUGUUGGAAUCGUUGAAGUAGUGGUGAAGCUCUGCUGGUGAUCGAUAUCCCGACGAUCAGUUAGUAAUCCCGUUUUGCUGCUCGGAAGGAGGAAAUCAUGUUUUGGAUGCUAAGUUCGUGAAAAAGAUGGAAAAGGUGUUUAUAGCUACUUAUUGGAGCAAUUAUGGAUGAUCGAGACACUUUCUGGCUUGUUCGUGAUUAAACCAUGUGUGAGAAUUGAAGAAGAGAUGAAAAGAUGACUCCGACACUUGCUAAGUCAACAUGUAGACCGCAAGUAGUACAUGUGGAACGCAAUUGGGCAAAGAAAGAGUCAGAAGUCCAAAAUACCAAGAGCUGACUUGCAGAAAAUUUUGGUCUUGCACCCUCCCUGCUGGCCGCAAGUACUACCCGCGCCCAAGGACAAGGCGCAAGUAAGGACCAUAAGUGGCCACCGAUUAUUUUUUCUCUUAUUUCUUUCAUAUUUUAAUUUUAGGGUUUCCUCAUGUACUAUAAAUACCCUUUAUGUAUUUUUUUUAGUAGUAGGAAUGCACUUUUGAUACUCACAAACAUAUUUUGAUUCCUAAAUCUGACUUUGGUCUUGAAAUUCUCUUGUAUUGAUUUCAUUUGAUUAAUUCAGUUAUGGUUUUGGAUUUUUCUA